GAACUGGUACACUGUGGGGUUCUUUAUAGACAUUAAUUCCCCAGAACAAUCCCACGAUACGCUAUACUGCCCAUUUUAGUAAGAAGAAAACAAGCUCAGAGAGGUUAGGUUAUUUGCCCAGGGCCACACAGCGAGAAGGUAAGCAACAGAACUGGUGGUCCAAACCCAAGGUUGACCCAGAAGGCCAUGUCUUCCCCUAUACCUGCCACCAUCUUCCCAUGCCAACCCCCACAGGGUAAAGAGUUUGGGCAGGAGGAGGUGGCUACUCCAGCAGGUUUGCUGGAGGGACUUCUGAAGAGCCUGGGGAGACUAGGAGUUCUGUAGUGGGAAAGCAUCAAAGUAGUCAAGGGGCCUGAGUUCUAGUCCCUAGUCUGCCAAAUAGUGGGUUAUGACGUCAAGCCAAGUCUUUCUCCUCCAGGUCCUGUUUCCUCAUUUGGACUAGGAAGAGUGGGACGGGGUCAUUUAAACACCAGCACCAUCUUCUACAGUUUGUGCAUGGAAGACUCCUGGAUCAGGGCUGGUUAGUGAGAAGAGAAGAGAGCCAGGAGGAGGCCUUCACGCAACUCAUGUUGGGGCUGUGCCAUCUGCGAAGUGAGGUUGCUGGAUACCAGAGGCCCAGAGCCCCUGAAGAGUGGCCCCGGCCACAGGCCCACCUGGGUGGCAGGGCAGCACAGGCCCACACCAGUGGGCACUCACCCAUGGACUCGGUGAGUGCCACCUACUGUCUCAUGCCCUCUGGCAUUUGAUAGCCCCCCUUCCCUCUGCUGGAAGCUGCCUCUCUCCUCCAGCUCUUUUCCUGGGGAGUGUUUCUGGUUUAAUUCUGUUUCAACAAACUUACCUGGGCGGCUCAUUCUAAGUGCCAGGCCUGCAGCAGGUGCUGGGCAUGUGACCUGGGCCAGCUGGACCCUCAAGGUGCUCAGCCCGGUGGGGGGACAGAACCAUCAACAGACAACUAGAUGAUCUAAUAUGAGAUGCAGGGACACAGAAGAGGAUGGGAACCCGCCUGGGCUGGUGAAGGGCAGAGAGCCUUCCCCUGGGAGCCCCACCUGAAUUGGAAAAUGAGUACAAGACAACAAGGGGAGAAGCAGACACUGCAGGAGGAGGGAGCUGCAUGAGCCAGGGUGGGGCUGGACAUUCAGGGAACAUGACCAGUGAGGAGGCCAGCCCAGCAGCGGAGCCACGACAGCAUGGGGCAGGGACAGGCCAAGGGGCAUGGGAUGGGAGGGCCUGCAAUGCACAGAACGGAGGGCAGGGUCCUAGCUGAUUCCAGGUUCCCAGCUGGGGUGCUCAGGAGUGUCACCAAAACAGAGAAUGCAGGAGACAGGCAGGUCAGAGAGAGAUAGGCUUGGGUUUCCCUGUGGAACCUGAGAAGAGCUGUCCAACUGGCAUGGGCAGCAGGGACCCUUUGGGGCUACCUGGGCCUG
rnacentral:lncRNA from 10 species